UUUGCUCCUCGCAAUUAAUUUUCUGUUGUUACUUGCCCGUCCUAUUCUCCUCCGAAAGUUAUGCGGUUUAAAAAAAAAGAUCGAUGUAAUCGGAUCUCCGAGCACAAAGUUAUUGUCUUCCGAAGUUUUCCUUUCAAUAUAAACAUGAGGAGAUUAUUUUUCCGUUGUUUCUUUAUUGACGCUU
rnacentral:rRNA from 1 species